rnacentral:tRNA from 1 species
AAGAUGUUAGUAAUAAAAAUUAUACUGCCUUGUCAAGGCAGAGUUGCAGGUUAAAGCCCUGUACAUCUUG